rnacentral:rRNA from 1 species
GACGAACGCUGGCGGCGUGCUUAGCACAUGCAAGUCGAACGGAAAGGCCCUGCUUUUGUGGGGUGCUCGAGUGGCGAACGGGCGAGUAACACGUGAGUAACCUGCCCUUGACUUUGGGAUAACUUCAGGAAACUGGGGCUAAUACCGGAUAGGAGCUCCUGCUGCAUGGUGGGGGUUGGAAAGUUUCGGCGGUUGGGGAUGGACUCGCGGCUUAUCAGCUUGUUGGUGGGGUAGUGGCUUACCAAGGCUUUGACGGGUAGCCGGCCUGAGAGGGUGACCGGCCACAUUGGGACUGAGAUACGGCCCAGACUCCUACGGGAGGCAGCAGUGGGGAAUAUUGCACAAUGGGCGGAAGCCUGAUGCAGCAACGCCGCGUGCGGGAUGACGGCCUUCGGGUUGUAAACCGCUUUCGCCUGUGACGAAGCGUGAGUGACGGUAAUGGGUAAAGAAGCACCGGCUAACUACGUG